rnacentral:rRNA from 1 species
UACGUAGGGGGCUAGCGUUGUCCGGAUUUAUUGGGCGUAAAGCGCGUGUAGGCGGCCCGGUAAGUCCGCUGUGAAAGUCGGGGGCUCAACCCUCGGAUGCCGGUGGAUACUGUCUAGCUCGAGUCCGGAAGAGGAGUGUGGAAUUCCUGGUGUAGCGGUGAAAUGCGCAGAUAUCAGGAGGAACACCUAUGGCGAAGGCAGCUCGCUGGGACGGUACUGACGCUGAGACGCGAAAGCGUGGGGAGCGAACAGG